AGACUAUUAGUUCAGUGGUUAGAAUACUUGCUUGUCACGCAAGGGGUCACGGGUUCGAGCCCCGUAUAGUCUG
rnacentral:tRNA from 1 species